UGAAGUUUUCGGAUGGAAUCUUGAUUGACUGAGUGGCGGACGGGUGAGUAACGCGUGGAUAACCUGCCUCACACUGGGGGAUAACAGUUAGAAAUGACUGCUAAUACCGCAUAAGCGCACAGUGCCGCAUGGCAGUGUGUGAAAAACUCCGGUGGUGUGAGAUGGAUCCGCGUCUGAUUAGCCAGUUGGCGGGGUAACGGCCCACCAAAGCGACGAUCAGUAGCCGACCUGAGAGGGUGACCGGCCACAUUGGGACUGAGACACGGCCCAAACUCCUACGGGAGGCAGCAGUGGGGAAUAUUGCACAAUGGGCGAAAGCCUGAUGCAGCGACGCCGCGUGAGUGAAGAAGUAUUUCGGUAUGUAAAGCUCUAUCAGCAGGGAAGAAAAUGACGGUACCUGACUAAGAAGCCCCGGCUAACUACGUGCCAGCAGCCGCGGUAAUACGUAGGGGGCAAGCGUUAUCCGGAUUUACUGGGUGUAAAGGGAGCGUAGACGGCGAAGCAAGUCUGAAGUGAAAACCCAGGGCUCAACCCUGGGACUGCUUUGGAAACUGUUUUGCUAGAGUGUCGGAGAGGUAAGUGGAAUUCCUAGUGUAGCGGUGAAAUGCGUAGAUAUUAGGAGGAACACCAGUGGCGAAGGC
rnacentral:rRNA from 1 species